rnacentral:lncRNA from 1 species
CCCUCCAGGAAAACGUGCUUGAUCCAGUCACGAACACAUAUAACACAUAUGGAACCACCAUAGGCCCUGCUGAUGGUUUUUCUUGUUUUGGACAAUUUCAUAAGAACUUUGGGUCUUAUAGCACGAACCCCUUGAAGUCUGCUUGGGUACACACCACAGUAGAUUUUGGUGCUUUCCCAGCCUUCUUGGUAUAAAGCAAGAAGAUGUGAAAGUUUGGGAAAGGACACC